rnacentral:rRNA from 1 species
AACGAACGCUGGCGGCAGGCUUAACACAUGCAAGUCGAACGGUUGUAGCAAUACAGCAGUGGCAGACGGGUGAGUAACACGUGGGAACCUUCCUAGGGGUACGGAACAACUCAGGGAAACUUGAGCUAAUACCGUAUACGUACGUGAGGAGAAAGAUUUAUCGCCCUUAGACGGGCCCGCGUCGGAUUAGCUAGUUGGUGGGGUAACGGCCUACCAAGGCGACGAUCCGUAGCUGAUCUUAGAGGAUGAUCAGCCACACUGGGACUGAGACACGGCCCAGACUCCUACGGGAGGCAGCAGUGGGGAAUCUUGGACAAUGGGCGCAAGCUUGAUCCAGCCAUGCCGCGUGAGUGAAGAAGGUCUUCGGAUUGUAAAGCUCUUUUGCCAGGGACGAUAAUGACGGUACCUGGAGAAUAAGCCCCGGCAAACUUCGUGCCAGCCGCCGCGGUAA